rnacentral:tRNA from 1 species
UCCCCAAUAGUUUAGUUAGAAUACCCGACUGCAGGUCUGGUGGCGAUUCAAUAUCUUGGGGGU